rnacentral:sRNA from 1 species
GGUUCGACCCGAGCGAAGCGAGAGAACGUUGCGCGAGCAACGGCCCGCAGGGCAAGCCAUCCUCUCAUUGCUGACA